CUACUCUUGACAUCUACGGAAUUGUGCAGAGAUGCGCAAGUGCCUUCGGGAACCGUGAGACAGGUGCUGCAUGGCUGUCGUCAGCCCGUGUUGUGAAAUGUUGGGUUAAGUCCCGCAACGAGCGCAACCCUUGUCCUUUGUUGCCAGCGCGUAGAGGCGGGAACUCAAAGGAGACUGCCGGUGAUAAACCGGAGGAAGGUGGGGACGACGUCAAGUCAUCAUGGCCCUUACGAGUAGGGCUACACACGUGCUACAAUGGCGUAUACAAAGGGAUGCGAACCUGCGAGGGAAAGCGGAACUCAGAAAGUACGUCGUAGUCCGGAUUGGAGUCUGCAACUCGACUCCAUGAAGUCGGAAUCGCUAGUAAUCGUAGAUCAGAAUGCUACGGUGAAUACGUUCCC
rnacentral:rRNA from 1 species